UUGAUGUGUAGGAUAGGUGGGAGGCUUUGAAGCGUGGACGCCAGUCUGCGUGGAGCCGACCUUGAAAUACCACCCUUUAAUGUUUGAUGUUCUAACGUGGACCCGUAAUCCGGGUUGCGGACAGUGUCUGGUGGGUAGUUUGACUGGGGCGGUCUCCUCCUAAAGAGUAACGGAGGAGCACGAAGGUUGGCUAAUCCUGGUCGGACAUCAGGAGGUUAGUGCAAUGGCAUAAGCCAGCUUGACUGCGAGCGUGACGGCGCGAGCAGGUGCGAAAGCAGGUCAUAGUGAUCCGGUGGUUCUGAAUGGAAGGGCCAUCGCUCAACGGAUAAAAGGUACUCCGGGGAUAACAGGCUGAUACCGCCCAAGAGUUCAUAUCGACGGCGGUGUUUGGCACCUCGAUGUCGGCUCAUCACAUCCUGGGGCUGAAGUAGGUCCCAAGGGUAUGGCUGUUCGCCAUUUAAAGUGGUACGCGAGCUGGGUUUAGAACGUCGUGAGACAGUUCGGUCCCUAUCUGCCGUGGGCGCUGGAGAACUGAGGGGGGCUGCUCCUAGUACGAGAGGACCGGAGUGGACGCAUCACUGGUGUUCGGGUUGUCAUGCCAAUGGCACUGCCCGGUAGCUAAAUGCGGAAGAGAUAAGUGCUGAAAGCAUCUAAGCACGAAACUUGCCCCGAGAUGAGUUCUCCC
rnacentral:rRNA from 1 species